rnacentral:snRNA from 1 species
GUGCUCGCUUCGGCCGCACAUAUAGUAAAAUUGGAACGAUACAGAGAAGAUUAGCAUGGCCCCUGCGCAAGGAUGACGUGCAAAUUCGUGAAGCGUUCCAUAUUUUU